rnacentral:rRNA from 1 species
AGUUAGUUAUUAAAGCUUUAUGCGCUGAGGGAUUGGGAUAUGCUCUAUUAGCUUGUUGGCGGGGUAAAAGCCCACCAAGGCUAUGAUAGAUAGCUGGUCUUAGAGGAUGAACAGCCACAAUGGGAUUGAGAUACGGCCCAUAUUCCUACGGGAAGCAGCAGUAGGGAAUCUUCCACAAUGGACGAAAGUCUGAUGGAGCAAUACCAUGUGAACGAUGAAGGUCUUUUUGAUUGUAAAGUUCUUUUAUGAGGGAUAACAACUGAUAGUACCUCAUGAAUAAGUGACAGCAAACUAUGUGCCAGCAGCUGCGGUAAUACAUAGGUCGCAAGCAUUAUUCGGAUUUAUUGGGCGUAAAGCAAGCGCAGGCG